CCCACUGCCUGGAUCGUGCACCCAUCCAGGCGUGGGCCCCGGAGCCCCUCUCGCCGCGCAUUUUGCGGAGCCCGGCCGGUCGGACCACCCUGCGCCCGGGCCCACGCUGCACCCAGCGGUGGCAGCGGGCGCGGGAGCCGGGGCUGGGAGGGCGCCGCCGGGUGCCCGCCUCCGCCAGUGCUCGCUGGGCGCGGGCGGCCCCGUGGCCUCCGACGCGAGCCGCGGCUGAAGGCGGGCGGAGCAGGCGGGAAGAAACCUCAGAGGAGGGUUACGAGUGAACUUUCCCAACAUUCAUUAUGGGAUCGUCCGCCCUUUUGAGGGCUUUGCAGCAUCUCCCUGGCAAGGCCAGGCCCAGCGUGUUACAGCUCCCAUAGAGAAGCCCACAACUUUCCAGGAUUAGCAGGAGCAAGAAGUCUUUAUGCUUUGGUUUUUGAGUGUCUAGUUGACUGGCAAACUGAGCUUUGUCCGGGAGGAACUCGGUGAGGACAGUGGAGUUCUGAGGCCCCUGGGCUUCCUGUGGUCAUCUGGCUACCUGGUUCCACAUGCAGCUGAAACAGGGUAACAGGAAAUUAAAGCCGGAAAACAGAGGUGAAGGAGGAAUGACUCUGACUCCUCUCUUGAGCCUUGUCGCUGUGAAGAAAUCAGUGUUUUCCUUCAAGUCUAUUAGGGAAGGCUGAAUGCAACCAUGUCUUUCUGGCCCGGUGAUGACUUUGUGCUAACCGAGACACAAAUGGAUUUCUUUGAUCCCCAAUUUUAAAAUCCCAGAGUUGCAAAUGCAACACAUAACGUAGUCGCCGUUGCUUUGAGAAAGGGGGGGUGAUCCACAGCAAGACUAGAGCAGAAGCCAGAACAGGUUGGGCCCUUCGUGAAUUCCCUGCUAAGAGCCCCCAUCCCUCACCACCACCCCUGGGAAGAGGGCCUCCGAUUUCUCACAAGAUAGAUCCAGUAAUGUGACUACCAGGGAACUGGGCGGAUCAAAAGGUACUCGGACCCCAUCAUGCCUGCUCCUCUGGCAUCACGUUCCUGCCAUUCUGCAUGGCUCCUUCCCCAUCGGCUGCUGUAGGCUGUCCUGCCUUUAGACAAAGAGUAGUUCCAUCUUCACAUCUACAUCUCA